AAAGACUUUGGAAAUCAGGGCUCUGAGCAGCUCAGCCCUGUGUGCUGGCUGAAUGUGAGGCUCCCCAGAGCCCAGAAAAGCUGAGGCCCCAGAAACAGUGCUGGAGGGUGAACAACAUCCUGGCAGAGGGCUGGUCCAGGAACAUAGCCCCAGAUCCACAGUCCGAUUGUUCAGUCCAGAUUCAAGGGCCAUUGGCGGAACAAGGAAGAAGAGGGGCGGGAGAUAAUUGCAUUGAAUUCUGCCAUGGACAUCACGUCUGUGGACUGCUGCACCAGACAGAGAGAAUCUACACAGAACGCCCAGCUUCAGGUUUUAAAAAUAACCCGCUGAGAUCCGCAGUUCUAUUCAGCAGCCUAGAUGCUUCUCAGAGUUUCAGCCUGGCUACUGUUCAACUUCUGUGGACAAUCAGCUGUUUCAGCCUCUCAUCUCCCCCCCCUCCCCCAUUUGCCAAGCAACGAUGGUGAUGGGGUGGGAAAGUGCUGUCUGGAGAAAUAAAUCAGCCAACUCUCAGCCCUCUGGAUCUGGUGUUCAUAUCUGUGCCUUCAACUAAACUCAGAAUACGAAGCCAAGCCUAUGCUGGCUACAUUGGUACUGGACUCAUGUAGAUGGUUUCCUGUUUCCCAGCCAAUCCAAUACCACCACUCUUUUACAUUGUAGCAUUUAGCUUGUAGCAGAAGUCACCUUGAGAUGCUCUGGUAGUUCUGUCUAACUAAGCCUGUGAGUUGUAUGCAGAGGGCUCUGAAUACGACCCUACACAAAGUCAUAAUUUACUUAAAAUAUUUUCUUGUGACUUGAUUGCCAAGCCAUCAGAGAUGAAUUUUGUAAGUGAUGUUACAUAGUGAUGUCAAAGGCUGGACACCCCGGAGCAGGGUUCUGGAAGAUGUGAGGAAGCUACCAUGCAGAGGCUACAUAUUUUCUGUAAGUGAUCUGAGCAUGGGGGUUGGUCUCUGUGGGGCUCUGAGGAAACCCUGUGGAUGCCAAAGAAUGACUUGUGGUACUUGGAGCAGCGUCUGGUACCACAAGUGCUCAGAAAUUGAACUCUAACCAUCAUGAGCAUCCUACAGAGAAAAAACUGAAGCUUGGAAGGCUGAGUCAGUCUUAGCCAAUUGGCUAAGAUGCAGGGAAAGGCGGCCAAUGCUAGCAUCUCUGUUACAGGAAAGAGAUGCUUCUUCAUUAAGGAAGUCAGAAGACUUCAGCGCUACUUGGCUGGUCACCCAGGGAAACUCAAGACUUAAUCACUUCUGAAGGCCUGUCUACUGCUCCAGCUGGGGAAGAACUGGGGUGGUUGACAUGGGCACCUGAAAAGAGAUGGGUAUGAAAAACAAAGUGGCCAGGAAUUCAUUCCUAGAACCUGGCUGCCGACAACCCCCCCAUUCUCCUGUGAGAUUCAAACCAUCACACUGGGUUGGCACAGACCUUCUGUGACAGCUAGAGGCUUAUGUCAGCCAUCUCCAGUGCCUCUCUACUUUGCUCUGCUGGAGUCUAAAGGGGCCACCUGCAUGCUCUAGAGACUCCUGCUCAAACUAUUAAUGAACACUUAUCGGAACAGACAAGCUCACGUUGGUGGCGUGAGGCCCCACGUACACAGGGGAGUAGCCACAGUCAACAUUCGGGUAUUUCAGAGCUAGUAAAACAUGUAGUCUAUCUUUUUGCCCAAAAGAGGCUGCCUGCAUCUUUGAGUCUGUUUGAGUCAUAGAAGAUGUGAGGAUGCUUAUGUCUCUCGUCUUCCUCUUUGAUCUCUGUAAACUGGGGACUUUGGGAGACCUGGUUAGAAGUGUUUUGUUCAGUUUUGUGGCAUCUUGUGUUUCCCACUGUUUGGAAGGCACAUGACUUCCUCUUUGACCUGUGUGAACUCUAUGGGUUUCUUAAGCAUUAAAAGCUUU